UACGAAGGGGGCUAGCGUUGCUCGGAAUUACUGGGCGUAAAGGGAGCGUAGGCGGAUAGUUAAGUUGGGGGUGAAAGCCCGGGGCUCAACCUCGGAAUUGCCUUCAAUACUGGCUAUCUAGAGUAUGGGAGAGGUGAGUGGAACUCCGAGUGUAGAGGUGAAAUUCGUAGAUAUUCGGAAGAACACCAGUGGCGAAGGCGACACACUGGCCCAUUACUGACGCUGAGGCACGAAAGCGUGGGGAGCAAACAGG
rnacentral:rRNA from 1 species